UGCGCGCGACGACUGCCAUGCAGUUGGUGAAGACCCUCGGGUAAGUAGAGCAGGCCAAAUGGGAGGACAGCAAACUGAAAGUGCUGGUCGACCAUAAAGCAAA